rnacentral:rRNA from 1 species
UCCGUAGGCGGUGCGGCAAGUCGAUAGUGAAAUCUCUGGGCUUAACCCAGAGGCUGCUAACGAAACUGCCGUGCUAGAGUGUGAGAGAGGCGAGUGGAAUUACGGGUGUAGCGGUGAAAUGCGUAGAUAUCCGUAGGAACAUCCGAGGCGAAAGCGGCUCGCUGGAUCACAACUGACGCUGAGGGACGAAAGCUAGGGGAGCAAACAGGAUUAGAUACCCUGGUAGUCCUAGCCCUAAACCAUCAGGACUUGGGGUUUGCCCUGUACGGGGCAAGUCCCGUAGCUAACGCGUUAAGUCCUGCGCCUGGGGAGUACAGUCGCAAGGCUGAA